AAAUGACACAGAGAGCAUUACGUUUAAAAAUAUGUGAAAGUAGUAUGCAUUUUUAAAAAAGGUAACUGUAAAAAAGGUAUAAGAUAUUUAAAAAUAUAUGCAUGUGGGGUAUAAAGUAACAUCACUUAUACCUAUGGUUCAGUUUUACGCCUUAAAUUCUUCCUAUAAUGAUGCAUCCUUGAUAACACCACUCUUAAAAGUGAAAAAAAGGGUCAUCUCUCUAUUUUGGUCACCUCGCAUUCUUACAGUUAUAUGUACAACUUUUUAAAUGGCACAUACACUGAGGCUCCUUAAGAGUUAACUCAAAACGGCGUGAGAUGCUUCCAAGCGGAAACACAGCGCGCGGGCAAACCCCUGCCCCACUGGAGCGGGGCACGAGCGAAAAGUGCCAGCCAAACCAAGAGCGGCAAUCCCCCCCACCAUCAUCACAAAAAUAAUUAACCAGUCCUUCGAGAAUUCGCAAAAAGAUGCAUCCUUUAAUUCGAGUCAAAAUAUCCAGGAACGACAUGCACAUGGCGUCUAUUCAUUCUCCAGCAUGCUCGUUUCAACACUACAGGAUGAAAGCUGGGGCAUAAAUAAACGUCAAAUAAUGAAUUAAAGCUGGCACGCCUUGCAUGGCAAAACAAGAGAGGCCAAACAAUGCUGAUGAGCAAGAGAUGAUUUUUGUUUCGUUACUGUUCUGCAAAAAAAAAGAAGAAGAAACGAGAAAGGUUGGAUGAUAACAAUUCACCAACUAAUUGUAAUUGUGCACUAAAGGCUAUUUGGAUGGCUAGAAGACAGGACGCACCGGGGAGUGAAAAAGAUCGUCCAGAUUUCCUGAAAUGCACAUGAGAGUAAAUGGAGAGAGAGAGAGAACGAGAGAGAGAGAGAGAGAGAGAGAGAGAAGGAUAGAGUGAGCAGCACAUUCUCUGUGUCCCAGCAGGUUUCAUUUGAAUCAGACUAAAAUAAAACGAGAGGAUUUGUUUACACUGAACGACAGAGCAGGGCCGCUGCUAUGGGGGUCGUCUAGUCAUUAAUAUACAGAAGGCUUUAAGGGCUAAAAUAUCUGCGUUGCGCUUUUUUGCCCCCCAAAAAAGGGCGUCUCGCGUGGCUGUGAAGAAAUGCAAGAGAGAGAGAGAGAGAGAGAGAGAGAGAGAGAGAGAGAGAGAGAGAGGAAAAAAGAAGAGUAGGAGAGAGGAAGCGUGCACAACGAAAACGAGCGAGUUUUUUGAAGUUUUAAAACGUCAUCUCAAAUGCACGGUGUUUGUUAUUUGUUUGUUUACGGGACAAGGUCCCCCCCCCAACGUGUCCCCCCCCUGCUGAGGACGUCAUUUGUUCUUGGUGAAAGCAAGAGAGGGGGAAGAAGGGGAAAAAUCCCCAAGUAUAACAAGAGACGAACAGUUAGUGCUGAUUUUCAUUUGCAUAAAUUUUCAUAUAUUUUAGUGAAAAUAAUAGCGGUGCCGAGCAGAGCUCUGAGCUCAGUCGAGGCAGAGCGAAAAUCUUAGGAAGGACCAGAUCGGAGGAAGACUGACUACACGACCACUGAGUGAGACGUGAAAAAAAAAAACUUCAUUUCCGACUUUUUUUUGGAUGGAGAAUCUGGAUUAGAUGCUAUUGCGAAGAGGACUGCCCUCGUUCCUUCGCUCCCUCCCUCCGCUCAUCCUCGACUCUCCAUUUUUUAUUUCAUUCAGGGAUUGGGGCCUCUACUAGAGACCUGGCCUCACUCUUCAGCCAAGAGACAAGAGCCAUGGCCGGCUGCAAAUGUAUACACACAGACAUGCAAGCAUAAUUUCUCACUUUUUAUGCACACUUCCGUUUUCAGCUCACACUAUCAUUGUAGCCUUUCUCCUGCUGGCGAUUUUUCCUUGAGAGACUAUAAAAAAUAUGCAAAUGCCAUUGUUAAAGAAGAAAGCUAUAGCAUUUGUUUUUCCAUGCUUGUAGAGAGGUGCACAGAAAGGGGAAAGGAAAGCAUUUCACAUUUAUCUCUUUAUGAAGACGGACAGAAAAAGAGGGACUUUGUGUACUAGAUGACCAGGUAGGAUAUUAAAAUUAGCUCCCAAAAGCAGCCGUCGCCCGUUAUUAUACUGGGCCCCUGUGUCAAGAGCGCCGCUCUGGGGCUCUCUCUCUCUUUAAUCAUGGACAUCAGGCCUUAAACACAUGCCAUCGAGCUCUUAAAGAGUGCAGAAAGUAUGGAGGCACAUUUGCAAAAGCCCUCAUGGUGCCAUCUACACUUUUUUUUUUUUUUUAAGUGAUUACGGAGACGGCUCAGAUCAAAGGCUCUGACAACUUGGAGUGCACGCCAAGAAUGAGCUGCACUAAUCGCGCCGAAGACUCGGGCAACAAUGCAACACACGCAUAAAAAGAUUAUCGGGAGACAGAGAAACGUCUGGGGUAGUAAAUACGGGAUUAGAUUUAUUUAUCAUUAUUAUAAUUUUUUUAUUCCAACGCCACUGAUAAUACGAAGGAGAUCAGCAAAACAUUGAUCGAUAAAUAUUAAUUAUUAGAGGUUGGGGGUUAUGGAAAAACAUUUUCGCAUUUAGCAGGAGAUCAGAGCUCAGUAUUCAAAAUGGGUUGAAUAAAAUUCCUCUCAUAAGACAGUAACGUCUCUAUAUAGUGCUUUCACAUCACAUACUUCCCUCUGAUUCCAUUAGAUUAAGCACAGAGUGUUCAUUUCCUGUAGCUAUGCACAAUACCUAGAAAAGAAGCAUGUGUUUUUCAUCUUUUUAUUUUAUUUAUUUAUGCCAUUUCAUUUUCAUUCCUUUUGACUAUAAGUGAAUUACUCGGAGUAAAACAUGCUCGGUAGCUGCAAUAACACCACUAGGCCGUGCACGACUGUUACGUUUAUUGUUUCGAAAGCAUUAAUAUCAAAAUAUAGAUACAAUUUGAGAUAGUAUACAGAAUAGAUAUAUACAGAAAUAAUGAUAAAUGUAUGUUUAUUAGUGCGAUACAACUACAAGUAAUAUAAUACAGCCUUCAUUUUCUUUAACUACAACCCCCUUACCAUAUACACUACAGGUAAGACCUUCAAGGACAUAAUCCCACCUGACCUCUCUGUCACGUCCUGUGCAAUGCUUUCCAACAUUUCUUUCUUUUUUUGUGUGUUAUAGUUCCCUUUGUGGACUUUGUAAUCUGUGUACACAGUGCUGGUGCGUGAACAAUAAAGGUUCUGUGAGCUCAAGCCA